UUUUGCUAACGUGGAGCUGUGACGCAGGACGCCGCAGACAAACAGCGGCAACUUUACGAUGGUUUACCAUCUAACUAGGGGUCUAAAUAACUUUCUGUCCAUCGAGCUAACCACUGAUAAAGAGUGUCGGUAGGCUGGUGUGUCAAUGUUUGUUGUGCGGGUUUAUGCAAUAAAUGUGAAAAAUAGUAAUUUAGUAAACAUCUGGACACAAUGA